UGGGGAAUUUUGGACAAUGGGCGAAAGCCUGAUCCAGCAAUGCCGCGUGUGUGAAGAAGGCCUUCGGGUUGUAAAGCACUUUUGUCCGGAAAGAAAUCCUUGGCUCUAAUACAGUCGGGGGAUGACGGUACCGGAAGAAUAAGCACCGGCUAACUACGUGCCAGCAGCCGCGGUAAUACGUAAGGUGCAAGCGUUAAUCGGAAUUACUGGGCGUAAAGCGUGCGCAGGCGGUUUGCUAAGACCGAUGUGAAAUCCCCGGGCUCAACCUGGGAACUGCAUUGGUGACUGGCAGGCUAGAGUAUGGCAGAGGGGGGUAGAAUUCCACGUGUAGCAGUGAAAUGCGUAGAGAUGUGGAGGAAUACCGAUGGCGAAGGCAGCCCCCUGGGCCAAUACUGACGCUCAUGCACGAAAGCGUGGGGAGCAAACAGGAUUAGAUACCCUGGUAGUCCACGCCCUAAACGAUGUCAACUAGUUGUUGGGGAUUCAUUUCCUUAGUAACGUAGCUAACGCGUGAAGUUGACCGCCUGGGGAGUACGGUCGCAAGAUUAAAACUCAAAUGAAUUGACGGGGUCAUAGCU
rnacentral:rRNA from 1 species